GUUAGUCUCCUGAGCUUAAAAUUUAAUUUCCUGUCAAGAUUCAUGGGAUUUAUAGGGGUUCUUUUUCUGGGCAGAGAACUACAGAAUCCACAAUGUGGCAGGAAAUUCAACCAAUUGCUCCUGAACAUGCUUGGACCUAUAAUUUCAAGAGUUGUCAGUAAUUGAGAAGUAAAAAGACAUAGAGGAAUACUAUAGGACACAACCUUGUUCAUCUGGAGGGUUAGAGUAGAUGCAAGUGCACGUAUGUUGCCAUCAAAAGCCAUUAUUGGAAAAAGAUCAAGUGCCGACCUCUACCACCUAGAGGAAUUACAGUGGAUGAAAAAAGAACAUGUUAGCAGGGGAUCAGCAGUCCACAAAACCAGCCAAAUGAUAAGGCUCUCUCUGAAGGACUGGUACACUCUCAAAGCAGCUGAACAAACAGUCAGGAAUUGAACCACCAGAACUGGAUAAAAAGAGCAAGACUCCUGAGACCAAUAGUCAGGAAUUUCUCUCCUUUGCUACCAGGUUCUCAGGGACUUUAAAUGAGCAGGCCAGAACCACAGAGCUCUUCACUUCCUCCUUUCAGACAUACAACCACAGGUGAUUGCAUAUUAUCUUCAUGGAUAUACCAUUAUGCUGAAUGAAGUGUUAUAUUGUGUUUUGCAUGCUUUGUUAUUGCUGUGACUCACUUUGAGCUCAGUGUUGCUGGGAAUGUGGCCUACAAAUAUAUUCAGUCAAAAACUACACUUCAAGUAAGCAGUGGCCACAUUACUAUAGCUGAUUAUUGUAACAGAUUAACAGUCAUUGUACUGUCAUUCUAAUCACUGCAAUUGACGUAAAGGUUUCAUAAAUAUUAAUUGAGAAAAUUAAUAAAAUACAUUACU